UACAGAGGUCUCAAGCGUUGUUCGGAUUCAUUGGGCGUAAAGGGUGCGCAGGCUGUGUGGUAAGUCAGGUGUGAAAUUUAGAGGCUCAACCUCUAAACUGCACUUGAUACUGCCACGCUAGAGGACUGUAGAGGAGAUUGGAAUUCACGGUGUAGCAGUGAAAUGCGUAGAUAUCGUGAGGAAGACCAGUGGCGAAGGCGAAUCUCUGGGCAGUUCCUGACGCUCAUGCACGAAGGCUAGGGGAGCAAACAGG
rnacentral:rRNA from 1 species